rnacentral:pre_miRNA from 1 species
AGUGCAAUUGUUGGAUUAUAUGGUAAGAGUGUAUUUUGUGAGAAACUGCCAAAAUGUGUUUCAAAGUGACUGUACCAUUUUUCAUUCCCAUUAGCAAU